rnacentral:misc_RNA from 1 species
CAAGUGCGAUAUUUCAUGUGAAAUGCAUAACCCUGUGAAUCAUCGAAACUUUGAACGCAUAAUGUGCCUCAAGGUCCUCCUUGAGGCGUGUCUGUUUGAGUGUCUGAAACAAAUAAACUGACCGACAGGUGGUUGUUUACUACUUGUCAAACAGGGAUUGGGAUUCUUUCUUUUAACAACAAAGAUGGUCUCCUUAAAUAUGAACUUUGUUCAAACACAACAACAACAACAACAAUUUGGAUGAUGCAAUGAUUGUUGUUUGUGAAACAAAGGGACCAGUAAGUUUUAAUAACACACUACCCUUUAAAUUAGCAAUCAACAGCUCAUCUAAGUUGAUGUUUAAUAUUCAUUAUAUACUCUGAUAUGGACCUCAAAUCAGGCAGGAUUACCCGCUGAAUUUAAGC